CAGAGCGCCACUCAGCGGGACUGUUUCCCGCCGGAUGAGUUAUGGAGAGCACCGGCGCCUCCGUCGGCUGGCCGGCGGUGCGGGGCAGUGCUAAUGAAGUAAUUUCAAAGCCAUUCAGACUAUGGCCUUUGAAAGAAUAACACAAAAGGACUGGUACAAAAUUCUGGGUGCAAAGCCGUCGGACAGUCUGGCAGAGCUAAAACAGAAGUACCAAAAACUUGUUUUAUUAUAUCAUCCAGACAAACAGAAGGCAGAUGUGCCAGCAGGAGAAGUGGAGGAGCGCGUGCAGAGGUUCAUCGAAAUUGAUCAAGCGUGGAAAAUUCUAGGGAACGAAGAGACAAAAAAAGAGUAUGACCUGCAGCAGCAUGAAGAUAAUCUGACAAAAGAAUGGCCACUACAUGCACAAAUUUAUCUUGAGGAUAUGUCCUGGAAUGAAGAUGAACAAUGUUACACUUUCUCAUGCCGAUGUGGUGGGAAUUACACUGUCUCCAAGAGUGAAACCAAAGACGUAUCUUUGGUUUGUUGUGAUACAUGUUCACUUGUUAUUGAGAUCCUUCAGUAGUUGUUUCAAUGAAGCACGUUAAGUUACAAACAUCUACAAAGACUGGACAAACAAGGGACAGCAUCUGCGAAGAAACGAGGGAAUGUGAAAAAAACAAUACUCGUGGCUGGAAAGGAGAUGGAACAAGCCUUCUAUGGGAAACAAAGACAUGCCACUGUGUGUAGUAAUUCCCAAGUCUUUUAAAGUUAUGACAGAAGUUGACUGUGACUUGUUCGUUCAGACUGGCUAGUCCAAUUAGCAGCUAUUUCCCCUUGCCCUCUUUGGUUUGGCAUACAUAGAUUGAUCUGAUGGAUGGGGGACAAAUGGGGCUAACUAGCUCUUUUGAAGAUACGCUACAGGUCUAUUUUUAACGUGGAGCCUAAGUCUAGGGAAUGCAGAGGAUAUCCUACCUAGGAUAGGACGAAGCAUGAGUUCUGUCAAUGAAUUUGCAGCUACUUUGAUUUUGGUGGCCUUUUUAUGGAAUGAACUUAUCUCAGAGUGGCAGGAAGGAAACGGGGCAAAUAAAAUCAAGUAUCAGUAUUCCUCUAUGGGUUAAAAACUCGUGCACCAAUGUUGACAGAGAAUCUUAGGUCUAAACUUCAUAGAUGAGCUAGAGAGAGAAUUAACGUGUUUUGCCAAGAAUAGGUUGCUUGAACAAACUUGGUACAACUCGCUUCUGCUGAAAUCCAUCACUUCCAAAUUAGAUUUGGGGUUUUUUUGCAUCCCUUACUGAAAGUGGAACUUAGCAUUCCAAAGUACAAUUACAUCUAUUUCUCCAAAAUUCACUUUAAGAUAAAGCCAUGUAAGCUUCCAUUCUCAAGGCAGUAAAAGAUUUUUCAUGAAAGAGAAGCCAAACCUCUAGUCGACUACAUUAAAAAGCAUAUAUAGGUUUCUCAGCCAGUGGUCUACUAAUGAGCUACCACCAUGUGGACUAGCUGUAUUCUGCUGCCUUUCACUGUAAUGUUCAACAGCAAGAUCACUGCAUUCUCAUGUGAAUUACCAUAAACAAUCCAAACUAUAAACACUCAUUUGAAGAAUAAACUAAUUUUUGCUUUUGUUAGGCACCAUAUACUUAGAUCUCAUUACAAUGUUAGUCAUCGCUACCCUACGCACCACCAUAAAACUGCUGUAAAAUUUGAUUAAGUUAUAAUUCGGUUAAGUAGCAAGUGACUGUAUACUAUCUUUUUAAACAGACAGUAUUCUGGAGUCCUAAAGUACUUCUUCAGUAUGUAAUAUCUGUGUGCAAGUUCCAUUAAUUUUACAGAGUUUACUGUUUGCUAAAUUUAGGGUUCAGUCCUGUCAGUCACUUCAUUAAAGCCUCUCAAACAUCUUCAUUGUUGCGGUACAAGCUGGACACAAACUCAUUGCUGUGGAGGGCUACUGUGAAUAAUUCCAGCUAUUCACAUACAUAGGUUCUUAAUACAUAUAUUGUUUGUUAACAGUCCCCUUGAAGUAGUAAACAGCUGUUUUUCUAUACUAGUAUGUCUGUUGGAGAAAUUUUUCUUUCAGUUGGAUUAUUAAUACCACAUUCUUAUUAAGAGGCUGUCAGCAUAUUAGCAUCAUUUGUAUUUUAGUGGUUAAUAGGUCACAGAAAUAGCCCUAUUUGGAAUUGGCAUUUUUUCCUCUGGUGUACGUGGUAAGGCAAGCAAUACGGGGAAGGAACACAGAGCACUCAAACACUAGGGAAGAACUCAAAGCAAACGCUAUCCAGAAAGAACAGAGGUCAGAUGAAACUUGGCGUUGGGGCUGAGGGGGACGUGCUGUUUGAGGUUUAGUAAGCAAUUAGUGAUUAUGGUCAGUAGCUGCAAGGUUUUUUGAAAAGUCCUAAGCUGGGUUCAUAAAAAUUGUAAGUAUAUAAAACUUUGUUAAAUGGGAAAGAUCUAAUGUUGCCUGUGCAAGUAGCAGCUGCACUAAAUUAUGUUUUUGUGGGUGUGCUGCAAUAUAUGGAGAACUGUUUCCAAAACCUUUUUUUAUUCUGAGUGGCACCAUUUUAAAUCGAGUUUUCUAAAAGCUGCUGCAUAAGUCUAGAGUACAUACUCCUUUGUUUCUUAGAUAAACUUUUUAUGGAGAGGAAGUUGUCUUAAUUUCUUCUUUUUGGUAAAUGAGCAAAUUAAUAAUGCAGAUAAUAUGAAAAAGUAAUUUUGUGUGAAAUAAAGCUGUAAAAUUGAUGAAAUAGAAGGAGGAGGAACCAUGAAGGUUUAUACAAUACAAUAUUAAAGCUUUUUUUUUUUUUAAAUAAAAAUGUGGCAGACAA